UACGUAGGGUGCAAGCGUUGUCCGGAAUUAUUGGGCGUAAAGAGCUCGUAGGCGGUCUGUCACGUCGGCUGUGAAAACCUGGGGCUCAACCCCGGGCCUGCAGCCGAUACGGGCAGACUAGAAUUCGGUAGGGGAGACUGGAAUUCCUGGUGUAGCGGUGAAAAUGCGCGAUAUCAGGAGGAACACCGGUGGCGAAGGCGGGUCUCUGGGCCGAUACUGACGCUGAGGAGCGAAAGCGUGGGGAGCGAACAGG
rnacentral:rRNA from 1 species